ACACCCGGAAGUGAGUGCGGGCCAGCCGGCUCGCCCGGGGGCCAUGGCAGCUGCGACUUCUGCAGCCGAGGGGGUCCCGAUUAGGGGGCCUCCCGGGGAAGUGAUUCAUCUGAAUGUGGGAGGCAAGAGAUUCAGUACUUCUCGCCAGACGCUCACCUGGAUCCCAGACUCCUUCUUCUCCAGUCUUCUGAGCGGACGCAUCUCGACGCUGAAAGAUGAGACCGGAGCAAUCUUCAUCGACAGGGACCCUACAGUCUUUGCUCCCAUCCUCAACUUCCUGCGCACCAAAGAGUUGGACCCCAGGGGUGUCCACGGUUCCAGCCUCCUCCAUGAAGCCCAGUUCUAUGGGCUCACUCCUCUGGUUCGUCGCUUGCAGCUUCGAGAGGAGUUGGAUCGAUCUUCUUGCGGAAACGUCCUCUUCAAUGGUUACCUGCCCCCACCAGCGUUCCCGGUGAAGCGGCGGAAUCGGCACAGCCUACUGGGGCCUCAGCAGCUAGGAGGGCGCCCGGCCCCCGUCCGACGGAGCAACACGAUGCCCCCCAACCUUGGCAAUGCAGGGCUGCUGGGCAGAAUGCUGGAUGAGAAGGCGCCUCCCUCACCCUCAGGGCAACCUGAGGAGCCGGGGAUGGUGCGCCUGGUGUGUGGGCAUCAUAACUGGAUCGCCGUGGCCUAUACCCAGUUUCUAGUCUGCUACAGGCUGAAGGAAGCCUCUGGCUGGCAGCUGGUGUUUUCCAGUCCCCGCCUGGACUGGCCCAUCGAACGACUGGCACUCACAGCCCGGGUACCUGGCGGGGCUUUGGGUGAACAUGACAAGAUGGUGGCAGCGGCCACCUACAGUGAGAUCCUGCUGUGGGCUCUGCAGGUGGAAGGUGGUGGCUCCGAGAUAGGGGUCUUCCAUCUGGGGGUGCCUGUGGAAGCCUUGUUCUUCGUUGGGAACCAGCUCAUUGCUACAAGCCACACGGGGCGCAUCGGGGUGUGGAAUGCCGUCACCAAGCACUGGCAGGUCCAGGAGGUUCAGCCCAUCACCAGUUAUGACGCGGCAGGCUCCUUCCUCCUCCUGGGCUGCAACAAUGGCUCCAUCUACUACGUGGAUGUGCAGAAGUUCCCCUUGCGCAUGAAAGACAACGACCUCCUGGUCAGCGAGCUCUACCGGGACCCGGCAGAGGAUGGGGUCACCGCCCUCAGUGUCUACCUCACCCCCAAGACCAGUGACAGUGGGAACUGGAUUGAGAUCGCCUAUGGCACCAGCUCGGGGGGCGUGCGGGUCAUCGUGCAGCACCCAGAGACUGUGGGCUCGGGGCCUCAGCUCUUCCAGACCUUCACUGUGCACCGCAGCCCUGUCACCAAGAUCAUGCUGUCAGAGAAGCACCUCAUUUCAGUCUGUGCCGACAACAACCACGUGCGGACGUGGUCUGUGACUCGCUUCCGAGGCAUGAUUUCCACCCAGCCCGGCUCCACCCCACUGGCUUCCUUCAAGAUCUUGGCGCUAGAGUCGGCCGACGGGCAUGGUGGCUGCAGUGCCGGCAACGACAUUGGCCCCUACGGCGAGCGGGAUGACCAGCAAGUGUUCAUCCAGAAGGUGGUGCCCAGCGCCAGCCAGCUCUUCGUGCGUCUCUCUUCUACUGGGCAGCGGGUGUGCUCCGUGCGCUCCGUGGAUGGCUCACCCACGACGGCCUUCACGGUGCUGGAGUGCGAGGGCUCCCGGCGGCUCGGCUCUCGGCCCCGGCGCUACCUGCUCACUGGCCAGGCCAAUGGCAGCUUGGCCAUGUGGGACUUAACCACCGCCAUGGAUGGCCUUGGCCAGGCCCCUGCAGGUGGCCUGACAGAGCAAGAGCUGAUGGAACAGCUGGAACACUGUGAGCUGGCCCCACCAGCUCCCUCGUGGGGCUCUCUCCCCAGCCCCUCACCCCGAAUCUCCCUCACCAGCCUCCACUCAGCCUCCAGCAACACCUCCUUGUCCGGCCACCGUGGGAGCCCGAGCCCCCCGAAGGCUGAGGCCCGGCGCCGUGGGGGAGGCAGCUUUGUGGAACGCUGCCAGGAACUGGUGCGGAGUGGGCCGGAGCUCCGACGGCCACCCACGCCAGCCCCGUGGCCCUCUGCUGGUCUCGGCACUCCCCUCAUGCCUCCCAAGAUGAAGCUCAACGAAACUUCCUUUUGAACCACACAGCUGCCAUGAUACCUUGGGAUGCCCUGGUCCUGGGGUACUCAGCAACAGCAAAAAUCACAGGACUGAUUCUCAUUGGCUUGAAUUGAGUCAGGUGGCCAUUCCUGAACCAAUUACUGUGGCCAGAGUGAUGAAGGACUUCCAUUAUCCCAGCCUGGAUCACGUGUCCUCAAGCCUGAAGGUGAGGUCAGCCCCACGUGGGUAGAGUGGAGGAGGAGUGCAUGGAGGGAAGAACAAGCAGAAAAGAGUGGCAGAUGUAAGUGGAUUGGUUACUGCAUCCUUAACAUUUGUACUCCAUACCUCGAUGCGGCAA